rnacentral:rRNA from 1 species
CACGUAGGGUGCGAGCGUUUGUCCGGAAUUAUUGGGCGUAAAGAGCUCGUAGGCGGUGUGUCGCGUCGGCCGUGAAAACCUGCAGCUUAACUGUGGGCGUGCGGUCGAUACGGGCAUCACUGGAGUUCGGCAGGGGAGACUGGAAUUCCUGGUGUAGCGGUGAAAUGCGUAGAGAUCAGGAGGAACACCCGUGGCGAAGGCGGCCCUCUGGCUCGACCCUGACGCUGAGGCGCGAAAGCGUGGGGAGCAAACGGG